UACGGGGGGGGCAAGCGUUGUUCGGAAUUACUGGGCGUAAAGGGCUCGUAGGUGGCCAACUAAGUCGGACGUGAAAUCCCUCGGCUUAACCGGGGAACUGCGUCCGAUACUGGAUGGCUUGAGUGUGGGAGAGGGAUGCGGAAUUCCAGGUGUAGCGGUGAAAUGCGUAGAUAUCUGGAGGAACACCGGUGGCGAAGGCAGCCCCCUGGGCCAACACUGACGCUCAGGCACGAAAGCGUGGGGAGCAAACAGG
rnacentral:rRNA from 1 species